UUGCACCUCCUCCUAAAACCUGUAUCUUGUCCACCUUCAUGUCCUUCCUGCCUGCCCUCUCUGGGACAGUGGCACUGUGAUUCUGGCGAUGCAGAGCAGACAUCUGGAAAUUUUGAGAUCGGUUGGGCAUGGCGAUCUGGGUUAAAGGAGGCAUCGCAGUUAUGAGGGUCACUGAUUCAUGAAGACCUCUUCAGACAAGACCAACGUCAUUGGGUUGUAGGUCUGUGCUACCUUCUGGAUCCCACCCUAUGGAGGGGCAAGCAAGG